GACAGGAGGGGCGAGCGUUGAGCGUUUGUACUGGGCCUAAAGCGCGGGUAUGUGGGUAUGAAACAUAAAGCCGUUUGUCUAUCCUUCGAUAGACGCAUUUGCUGCACAGCCUCAGGGUGACACCUUCGGGGGUCACCUACACCACCUCUUGGUGGUGUUGGUUGUGUAGAUGACGGUCUUUGAUUGUAUUCUUUGCACGGUCGAAGAAAGGCCCUCCGAGGAUGGAGGCGUUUCGUGGAGUGAGUUCAUACCUGGGG
rnacentral:rRNA from 1 species